GGGCCCGCACAAGCGGUGGAGCAUGUGGUUUAAUUCGACGCAACGCGAAGAACCUUACCUGGGCUCGAACGGCUUUUCAACGACGGUGGAAACAUCGUUAUCCCGCAAGGGAGUAGAGUCGAGGUGCUGCAUGGCUGUCGUCAGCUCGUGUCGUGAGAUGUUGGGUUAAGUCCCGCAACGAGCGCAACCCUUGUCCUGUGUUGCCAUCAUUCAGUUGGGCACUCUCAGGAGACCGCCAGCGAUAAGUUGGAGGAAGGUGGGGAUGACGUCAAGUCAUCAUGGCCUUUAUGUCCAGGGCUACACACGUGCUACAAUGGGCGGUACAAAGCGCUGCAAACCCGCGAGGGGGAGCCAAUCGCAUAAAACCGUUCUCAGUUCGGAUCGCAGGCUGCAACUCGCCUGCGUGAAGCUGGAAUCGCUAGUAAUGGUAUAUCAGAACGAUACCGUGAAUACGUUCCCGGGCCUU
rnacentral:rRNA from 1 species